rnacentral:lncRNA from 1 species
GAGAGACGACACCUACCAGCUGGAAGGCGGUUCCGCACCAGACACCGAAGCUGCUGGGCCUUCGACCUCGGACCUCCGUCUUCCAGAACUGUGAGCCACACAUUCCUGAUGCUCCUAAGCCACGCCGUGUACGGUAUUUUGUUACGGUAGCCCAAAUGGACCAAGAUAGGAGCUAAAGGUGCUUGUGAGAUUCCACGCAUCAUACUAGAGGUGUGAGCACUGCACCUAAGGGUGCCUCGGAUCAUCCCUGAGAUGCAGGCACUGCACCAGGAGGUGUCUUGGAUCAUUCCUGAGGUGUGAGCACAUCAUCAGAAGGUCACGCUGAUGCAAGAGGUGGGCUCCCAUGGCCUUGGACUGCUUCACCCCUGUGGCUUUGCUUUCACAAGAUGGCAUUGAGUGUCUGAGGCAUUUCCAGGUGCACAGUGCAAGCUGUCAGCGGAUCUACCAUUCUGGGGUCUGAAGGACGGUGGCCCUCCUCUCACAGUUCAACCGGGCAGCACCCCCAUGGGGACUCCCUGUGGGGGCUCCAAUCCCACAUCUCCCUUCUUCAAUGCCCUAGCAGAGGUUCUCCAUGAGGGCUUUGCCCCUACAGCAGACUUCUGCCUGUACAUCCAGGUAUUUCCAUACAUCCUCUGAAAUCUAAGCUGAGGUUCCCAAACCUCAAUUCUUGACUCCUGUACACCCACAGGUCCAAGACCACGUGUAAGCCACCAAGGCUUGGGGCUUGCACCCUCUGAAGCAACAGCCUGAGCUCUAUGUUGGCCCCUUGAGCCACAGCUGGAACUCACUAUCACCAAAUCCCUAUACUACACAAAGCAGCAAGGCCCUAGGCCUAGCCCGUGAAACCCUUUUUUCCUCCUAGGCCUCUGGGCCUGUGAUGGGAGGGACUGCUGUGAAGAACUCUGACAUGCCCUGGAGACAGUUUCCCCAUUGUCUUGGUGAUUAACAUUUGGCUUUUCGUUACUGAUGCAAAUUUAUCUAGCUGGCUUGAAUUUCUUCUCCAAAAAUGGGUUUUUCUUUUCUAUCGCAUCAUCAGGCUGCAAAUUUUCCUAAGUUUUAUGUUCUGGUUCCCUUUUAAACAUAAGUUUUAAUUCCAAACCAUAUAUUUGUGAGUACAUAAAACUGAAUGCUUUUAACAGCACCCAAGUCACCUCUUGAAUGCUUUGCUGCUCAGAAAUUUCUUCUGCCAGAUACCCUAAAUCAUCUCUCUCAAGUUCAAAAUUCCACAGAUCUUUAGGGCAAGGGCAAAAUACUGCCAGUCUCUUUGCUAAAAUGUAGCAAGAGUCACCUUUAUUCCAGUUCCCAAAAAGUUCUUCAUCUCCAUCUGAGACCACCUCAGCCAGGACUUCAUUGUCCACAUCACUAUCAGCAUUUUGGUCAAAACCAUUAAACAAGUCUCUAGGAAGUUCCAACUUUCCUGGAAGACAUCUUCCUGUCUUCUUCUGAGCCCUCCAAACUGUUCCAACCUCUGCCUGUUACCCAGUUCCAAAGUCACUUCCACGUUUUUUAGUAUCUUUAUAGCAGCGCCCCACUACCCAGUAUCAAUUUACUGUUUUAUUCCAUUCUCAUGCUGCUAUGAAGAACUGCCUGAGACUGGGUAAUUUAUAAAGGAAAGAGGUUUAAAUUACUCACAGUUCUGCAGGGCUGGGGACGCCUCAGGAAACUUACAAUCAUGGCAGAAAGCAAAGGGGAAGCGGGCACGUCUUCAUGUGUCUGGAGAAGGAGGAAGAGAGCAAAGAGGGAGGUGCCACACACUUUCAAACAACCAGGUCUCCUGAGAACUCAUUCACCAUCACAAGAAUGCAAGGGGGAAAUCUGCCCCCAUGAUCCAAUCACCUCCAACCAGCCCACUUCCCCAACACUGGGAAUUACAAUUCGACAUGAGAUUUGGUUGGGGACACAGAGCCAAACUAUAUCAGUGCUUAACCUCAUUUGAGUUGUCACACGCAACCAGGAGGCUUGAAUAACCCACUGCUUCCAGACUAGAUGGCUUUCUGUGUGACCCCAAGAGAGACUCCCAGCCUCUGCUGAUUCCUAUGUAAAGUAUGGGUUGGAACUGGAUGGUAUCGUAGGUUCCUUUAGCUCCGUAUGAUUCUCAUGUAAAAUUCCACCCAGCAGUCAGGCAAGAGGUGCACUGGGGAGAGGAGGUGGAACCCCCAGGUUGUUGAUAAAAUCCUGAAAUCCCUUGGCUCUGUGCUUCAAACAGCCACCUUCCCAACAUCUAUGACUCUUUGAACUGCUCAUAAAGAGCGCUGAUUAAUGUGACACUUCACAUGCCCACCAUGAAAUUAGGAAGGCCCUUAGAUCUCCUUCAAACCCGCGGUGCCGGUGCCUUCGCCCCAUCAAUCAGAGAUGAAACUGUGAUUGUGCUGCAAGGAGACGAGGCCAUCCUGGAGUUCUGCCAUGAAAGAAUCGCUGGGACUCAAAGGAGGGGAAAACAAGGGAAGGAGAGAGGGGGAAAGGGAAAGAGAAGCUGCUUCCAGAAGGAAUAAAUUUGUGUGUGUACUUUGAUCCUGCUAUGAUUUUUAUUUGUUUUAGCCACAUCCUUUUCACUGCACCACUCAGCUAAAGGUGCUUUAAAUUAGAUGGCGCUAGGAAACCCUCUUCCUCCCCCCUUCUUCCCCUGCCUGCCACGCAGGCCCACAGUCUUCAGUCAGUGUGAGAUGUAUAAUCAUGUCAUGCUCAAAUGUAACUGGAA